UUCGGGGCGGUGGGCGGACCCGCUAACGCCAUUUGUCGACCCACAAAGUCAGCCAGUCAGUCAGUCAGUAAGUAGCGAGCGAACGAACUGUCAACGCCACGGGCCGACAGACGAGUAGUACCCAGCUUGAACGCGUCUUUCCUCGGACUGACUCCUGUCAUGGCAGCCCUGGAGAGGAGGCCUCUCCUGAGCGGCUCCGUCUAAAGGCUGGGCUGUGACAGCUAGCUGCUAGCUAGUUAGCUAUGUAAGCCUUUACCUGCUCCAUCGUCUGGCGGCCAAACGGAUUCCAGCCGGUGGACUUUAGAGGAAUAUUUGACAACUGUAUUUUCCACGGAUAACCAUUCGAGCACAGGGAACACUUUAAUCUAAGAGUUUUUUUAUUUGCAUCAAUCUAAGGCGGAUCGACACAUUUUAGCUGCACUGACAACGGAUGUCCUAGAGAACGGAUGCGUGAGGACAUGUCCACCAUGGUGUGCGUGAAGGCGGAGGAGGACCCUGGUGAGAAGCUGUCCCAGGAUGAGAUCAUCUCCCGCACCAAGCAGGUGAUCCAGGGCCUGGAGGCCCUGAAGCAGGAGCACCACUCCAUCCUGGAGGGCUUGCUGGGAACGCUGCGCUGCCUAAAGCAGGAUGAGGAGGGCGUGCUGGUAGAGGAGAAGUCGCACAUGAUCCGCAAGUCCCUGGAGAUGCUGGAGCUUGGACUUAGCGAGGCACAGGUGAUGAUGGCUCUGUCCAGCCACCUGAGCUCGGUGGAGUCUGAGAAGCAGAAGCUUCGGGCUCAGGUGCGCCGCCUGUGCCAGGAGAACCAGUGGCUGAGAGACGAGCUGGCUGGCACCCAGCAGAAACUGCAGAAGAGCGAGCAGAGCGUGGCCCAGCUGGAAGAGGAGAAGAAGCACCUGGAGUUCAUGAACCAGCUGAAGAAGUACGAUGAAGACCUGUCUCCCUCAGAAGAGAAGAACUCGGAUUCCAGCAAAGAGACUCUGGAUGAUCUCUUCCCAGAUGACCAUGAUGACCAAGGUCCAGGCAUCCAGCCAACUCAUGGCAGCGCGGCUGCAGCCGCCGCCCAGCAGGGUGGCUACGAGAUCCCGGCCCGUCUGAGGACCCUCCACAACCUUGUGAUCCAGUACGCCUCCCAGGGCAGGUAUGAGGUGGCUGUGCCGCUCUGCAAACAGGCCCUGGAGGACCUGGAGAAGACGUCCGGACACGACCACCCGGAUGUGGCCACCAUGCUGAACAUUCUGGCCCUUGUGUACAGAGAUCAGAACAAAUACAAGGAGGCCGCCAACCUGCUGAAUGAUGCCCUGGCCAUCAGGGAGAAGACCCUGGGCCGGGACCACCCUGCUGUUGCCGCCACCCUCAAUAACCUGGCUGUGCUGUACGGGAAGAGAGGCAAGUACAAGGAGGCGGAGCCUCUUUGCAAGAGAGCACUGGAGAUCAGAGAGAAGGUGCUGGGAAAAGACCACCCGGACGUGGCCAAGCAGCUGAACAACCUGGCCUUGCUGUGCCAGAACCAGGGCAAGUACGAGGAGGUGGAGUACUACUACAUGAGAGCACUGGAGAUCUACCAAACCAAACUGGGACCUGACGACCCCAAUGUGGCCAAAACCAAGAACAACCUGGCUUCCUGUUACCUUAAGCAGGGCAAGUUCAAGCAAGCAGAGACUCUUUACAAAGAAAUCCUCACUCGGGCCCACGAGAGGGAGUUUGGCUCCGUUGAUGGUGAGAACAAACCAAUUUGGAUGCACGCCGAGGAGAGAGAGGAACAAAGCAAGGGGAAGCAGAAGGAUGGCACGCCGUUUGGAGAGUAUGGAGGCUGGUACAAAGCUUGUAAAGUCGACAGCCCCACGGUGACCACCACCCUGAAGAACCUGGGUGCACUCUACAAGCGGCAGGGCAAGUUUGAAGCAGCCGAGACUCUGGAGGAAGCUGCCAUGCGUUCCAGGAAGCAGGGUCUGGACACCGUGCACAAGCAGCGCGUGGCCGACGUCCUGAGCGAGCCAGAGGCCCGCGAGAAGCAGCGCAGCCGGGAGAGCCUGACUUCCGACACGGUCAAGUACGAGAGCGGGCCUGACGGCGGCGAGGAAGACGGCUCGGGGGCGUUGAAGAGGAGCGGCUCCUUCAGCAAGUUGCGAGCGUCCAUCCGCCGCAGCAGCGAGAAGCUGGUGCGCAAGCUGAAGGGUGGCGGCGGAUCACCUCGGGACUGCGAGCCCAAAAACCCUGGGUAACUAUCCCCAACCCCACCCCACCCGAGACAUCAGGGGCACCAAGGCGGAGCGCCGGGCCAUGCUAAAGAGGGAUUUGCUGGUGAAGCUGUUUGCACACAAAACAAUGGAGGCAGAUUCCUAUUCUCUCCUUUUGCAUCGCUACUUUCCUUGCAGGGGAUUUGAUACGAGAAUGCUGACAAAGCACUAUGGUGAUGCAAUGCGCAUAACGUACACACAGUGCAUUUCAGUGCCUGGUUAUGUCCACUAAUAUCUAUUUAUUGCACCGUGGGGCUUUCCUGGGGGUUAUUUUAUUCAUUCAUAAACUUGGAUUUAUGAAAUUCACAUUGGACUCUACUGUGGGGCUUUUUAUUUGAUCUUAUUUUCCAUUCUCGCUGGGUGCUUUUUCAUUUGGAAGUCUUUGUUUGCAUGGCUAUAUUUUUAUUUAAGAAGAAUAAAUGUUAUUUGAAUGUGGCGCAGCAUGUCCCACUGUGUGUGUUUGUGUCUGGGUGUGUACACGCAGGCUGUGGUGUCACUUUCUGCUUCCUGUACGCCUUUUUCUGGCACUUCCUGAUGGAGAGAUGAUGUCACAGCCACCACCGUCAUCAUCACGUGUCAUUGACAUAUUUAUCAUGUUUUAUUCAUGCCUAUUUACUUCAUAAUUGUACUAAUACUAGUACUAAAAUAACUAACCGUGUGUGUUGUUUAUUAACCAACGCUCAAUGUUCCACCCCCGCCUCACCUCUGAAACCUGACCUCUCAUGACCCUCCCCCGCAUGGCGCCAUUUGGGGGUGCAGCUUGAAGCGAGCCAGCUCACUCGGGGUUCUAAACGUGGCGGACGAGGCGCUAACUGACCAUUACCAAGAACGAAAUCAUCGUCUGAGAAAGAGUCGCGACCUGAGUGCCAGCCACACGGACCUGGCGCAUUGAAGGUCUUGUUGACGGAUGGAGGCUUAAAGGUCACAGAGGACACAGGUUCUUCCAUCUUCAUUGUUGUAAAUAAAAAUGCUUUGUUUGACACACACAGCUUGCAAAGCUUCCACGAGGACAUAUCAUGUCAUAACAUGAACAUGGCUGCUGUAGCUCCUUAAGUGGCUUUUUAAAGUGUGCUGAAGCGUUUAUGUGUCACUACUCCAUUUUUGCAUUUGUCUUUUUUGUUUGGAAAGACUUGCUUUAAGAUGUUUCUUACGUUUCCUUUUGAAGACUUGGUCUUGGUUAAAUGAAGUUUACAUGUUGGGCUUCUGGUGAGUGUGUUUGCAAGGAUGCUGUUCAAGGGGCACAUGAAGACGGCACUCUCAGGACUUCAUCUGUGGUAGUUUGACGCACUGACUCGCUUCUGUGUUGGAGAUCACGAGUUAAGCUAUUAGCGUUUACUCCGGAGAAACAAUCCCAUGUUUCUCCAAGUGCUACCUCGGUUUUCGUAGGUCUCGGUGCCCGGUAUAUGGCAGUGUGCCUCACAAAUUCAACCCAAGCAAAGCUUCUAUAAAGAAUAGUGGUUAUUUUAAGAGUUGGGACAUUGGGAAUUGAUUCAUUCUCAAACAGUUUUUGUCAGAUCUUUUGGGCCGGAUUAAUGAAAACUGAGGUUCCACUCUGUACAAAUAGGCUGCACAACAGCAACCAUUUAGUUGCUUUAACCUUCAUCGUCAGAUGGAUGUCACAUGAUCUUGAUGAUGUAGUCCCAUAAUGACUCCAGUCAGCCCUUGAUAGUUUUACUUUUGAUGUUACACAUGUGGUGUGUAAAAUGCGACCAAAAGAGGACUUAAUGCUUUUACUACAAUAUAUUUGUUGUUCAUACUUUUUGCAGGGCUGUGCAAUAAGCUUUGGUCAGAAUGUAAAAAAAUGUAGUUACUAUGAAGGCUGUUGUUCCUUACAACAUUGUUUUGUGCGAAACACUCAAAUGUAAAUAGAGGAAUGCAUAUAAUACACAUUAAUAUUCAGUCUGUAGUACAAAAUUGUAUUUUUUUCUUUUUUAGGGAAAUGACAUGCACUUCAUUGCUGACUGUUGAUCAGUCUGUUAAGUCAUUAUUGAUGGUCUGAUGGUGGCGACGGAGGGAGAAACAACAUUUUUGGAGUGUAAAGUUGAGAAUUAUGACCGAUUUGAAACUCAAGUCAGAAUGUGACUUUUUCAAGGCACAGUGCCACCAGGUGGUGAUGAAAUGUAACUGGCAGUGAUGCAUCAGCAAAACUACAAUAUUGUUUCUUCUGACACGCCUAUUUUUAACACUUCUUCCUUCCUGUGAUUGUGUGCAGAUUGUGUAGAAUCUAUUGCUACUACAUGUGCAGAAAUGUUGAAAAGCACGGAUUAACUGUUACUGAAGAAUAAAACGGUGUGGUUUGUUCUGUA